GCAAAUAUUUGCAAAUGGCAUACGUGUCUUUCCCUAAGGACCUAAAUAAUUUGAGUGUAAUUUAUGUCUUUAACAGGAAAAAUAAACAUUAGAGGUUGUAUUUACUUAUUCCCUGCCAUGGACUUGGAUUAGCCGGGAAAUAAUGGACGCGGGAACACGAGAUGUGGAAUGCUGUUUGGUCUAGAUGCAGACAAAAUGAGUCUCUGACUGGAACACUCUGUGUUGAGAGGUCCCUACUUUCCUCUCAUCGUCACUGCAGUGUGGCCUCCUUUCAUGGAUAUGUGAAUCUCUGCUGGAGUUGAAGGAGAGACCCCUCCUUACCUCGUUGACUCACCCAGGAAACAAUGCCCCCUCCCAGCGCUGAGAGAACGAGGAAAAAGGGGACUUUCCAGCUACGUGAUCAAGCUGAUGUCGGAGGAGCCUGGCGUGGAUGUGUCGACGGAGGAUCUGGCGUGAAGCAGGAGAAUGCUAAAUACCCUCGCAUUGUGAAUCUUUAAAGUAUGGAACUAUCAGACCAAAGUCAACAUUCUGAGGGCAAAGGAGGGACCAGAGAUCAAGACAAUAUAAAAGAGGAAAUAUAACAUAAUCCCGCACCGGUACUAUGGAGUCAUCAGGAGUAGCCGCACCUUCUCUCCUGACUCCUACCUUCCACUCCUAUUCAUCCGUGACAGAAUCCCGCACCGGUACUAUGGAGUCAUCAGGAGCAGCCGCACCUCCUCUCCUGACUCCUACCUUCCACUCCUAUUCAUCCGUGACAUUAUCCCGCACCGGUACUAUGGAGUCAUCAGGAGCAGCCGCACCUCCUCUCCCAUCGAUGGACAGGGUCCUCCAUCACACCACCAUUCUUCACUGGAUUGGGGCAGCUAUGGAUCAGAUGAUGGAGAGGAUGGACCGAUGGGAGAGGAGUGGCCUUCCUACCUCUCCUCCAGCGCACCUUCCACCAGCACCACCUACCCCUGCUUCAGCGUCUGGCUCCGUUGCCCUGCGUCUGGCGCUCCCCAGGGAGUACGAUGGGACGGCGGCUGGGUGUCAGGGGUUUCUCCUACAACUGGAGUAGUACCUAGCUGAUGGACCACUAUCGUUGUAGCCUCAGGGAGGACUUCCACAGGGAGCUAGCGUGCUGGGACACCACCAUCUCCCUGGAUGAACUGAUUGACAUGUCCAAUCGUCUGGACAACCUGCUGGCUGCCCGCGGGCGUCCAGAACGGGCCCUGUCAAUUCCACCUCCAGGCCAUCCUGCUCCCAUCCCCAUGGAGUUUCGGGGGGCUGCAUAGAGGGGGACCGGAGGAGGAGUUUCCUCCUGCACCAGUUGUGGUCGGCGAGGACACACUGCCGAUCGGUGCUGGAGGAGCUCGUCUGGGAGACGGGAAGGCAGGCAGAGCUCUACUCGUUCACCCCAGCAUAAGACACUCGUCGAUUCAGGAGCAGCUGGGAACUUCAUGGAUCGUGGGCUCGCGCUAAGGCUAGGGAUUCCCCUGGUGUCGUAAGACCAACCUUUCCCCGUGCACACCUUAGAUAGUCGACCAUUAGGGUCAGGGCUGGUCAGGGAGGCCAAUCACAGUGGGGUUUAGUUACCCAUUACCUCUCAUCGCCACGGCGGUGGAAUCAUUUCACGGGGCGCGUUUCUUCAUAAAACUGGACCUUAAGAGUGCGUAUAACCUGGUGCGUAUCCGGGGGGGAGAUGAGUGGAAGACCGCAUUUAGUACUACCAUUAUGAGCCAUUAUGAGUACCUCGUCAUGCCAUAUGGGUUGAAGAAUGCUCCAGCCGUUUUCCAAUCUUUCGUAGACAAGAUUCUCCGAGACCUGCACGGGCAGGGAGUGGUAGUGUACAUCGAUGACAUACUGAUCUAUUCUGCCACAUGCGCCGCACACGUGUCUCUGGUGCGUAAGGUACUUGGGCGACUGCUGGAGCAUGACAUGUACGCCAAGGCUGAGAAAUGUGUGUUCUCCAAACAAGCCAUUUCCUUCCUGUGUUAUCAUUUCCACCUCUGGGGGGGUUGAUGGAGUGUGACCGCGUUACAGCCGUGCGUAAUUGGCCGACUCCGACCACGGUAAAAGAGGUGCAGCGGUUUUUAG